UCGACUCGAGCGAAGCGAGAGAACGUUGCGCCAGCAACGGCCCGCAGGGCGAGCCACGAAGUGGCGAGUAAUCCUCUAUCACCGACCA
rnacentral:sRNA from 3 species